rnacentral:lncRNA from 1 species
UCAAGAUUCAAGAACAACAGAAGAAACUCGAUCUGCCACCAAAUGAAAAAAAAAAAAAAUAACUGCUGUUAGAUUUUUCAAAAUCAUCUGAAAUUUCUGAUAAAAUUUGAGGUCAGUUACGUGAAGGUUUUUUUCUUUUUUUUAGGCCCGGUUUAAGCCGUAUUCUUUCAUAAAAAAUAUAUUCUAUAACAUUGAUUUAAUAUCAUUUCAACUACACAUGUUUUAAUAAAAUAAUAUUACACGCAAAUUCAAAACUUUUCCUCAUUUUUUAACCACACAUUCUCCAUCAAUCUACUGUUCCAAAAUAUAUUAUUUCAAAAUAACGUGGCUCAAACAGACACUUACCUAUUUUCUUUGAUUCUAUCAUGACAAGUGCGACUUUUUAAAUUUUUAUGUGUUUAGUUUCUUGAAUUUGGAUUUGAAAAUGCCUCGAAUUGUUAGGGGGGUAAGUUUUGUAAUUAUGAUCAUUUUCAUUAAUUUGCAGUAGGAAGAUGAUAAGAAGGGAGAUUUGAUGCCAAUGGAGAAAUGCAGAAAGCAAAGAAAAAGGCGCUGUGCUCAACCACAUAGCAUGAAAGAGUGUGAGUUUAGUUUUUAAGCCCAAAAUAUAUAUAAAUAAAAUGAAAACUGUAGAACUACGUUGAAUGGGUCGGCCAGUCUGCCGGGCAAGCAUUUCUUGCAAGCAAGGUUUGACAAAUUUAUAAAGAGGAAUAGUAAUUGGUUUCACGAAACGUGUAGAUAAUAAAUAAGUAGUAACUAUGAAUAUAUAGUUGAAAGAAUAAUAUUAUUUGCAGUCGUCAUGUGACUGUUAGUGAUUUAUUAUAUAAGGUAAUAAAAAAUUUACUAUAUUAAUGUAUUAAAUCAAUAGUUGCCACAUGUAUGUCGUCAUAUAGGAUAACUAUGACAGUGAACGACUACAAAUAACAUUAUUCGUAGUUGAAAUUAAUGUUUAAUUUUGACUGAAAUUAUAAAUUGAUUCAUAAUUUAAUUUCCAGAGGCUAUUGUGGAUUCCAAGGAGGUUGUCCACAAGUCAAAUUCUAUAAUGGUAUCCCAAGUCUUAUUUCAUAUCCAUUUUACUACUAAACCUACAAAAUUCAACUUCAAAUAAAGUAUGAAAUUAUAAUAAUCAUUUAGCUAUUGUAUCUAUCUUUUUUUUUUCUCUCUCUCUCUUUUUUUUUUUUUUUUUUUUUUUGUUGAUUAUGGUAUUUUUUCGAAAAUUAACAAGACAUUGCUCUAGUUUUUAAGUGUUACUAAUUAUUUUAUCAUUAACUAACAUGGUUGUCCAUUGAAUGGCUAAUAGUUACGUAGACAAAGAUUGAAAGAAAAGAUGAAAGUUCUUCAAGAACUUGUUCCCAAUUGUAGAAAAGUUAUUUCAUGCUCUCUCUACACGCAAUUUUUAAGAAUCCUUCAAUUUUAUAAAGAUGAAAAGUGUCUCAUAGUUUUCUUUCUUCUUUAGAGAGACAAAGCAUCAAUACUAGAUGACACUAGAAAAUACAUAAAAGCCCUGCAAACUCAAGCUCAGGUAAAUUCAGUUUUUGCCUAUUUCUUUAUACUUUGGGAAAUUGUAAUGGAAUAAUCGUUGCCAUUUACGACUUGUACAUAUAAGUGGGCUCCAUUAUCCACAUCGAGCUUUGAAGUGGGCUACAUUAUCUACAUCGAGCUUUUUGUCAAACUGAAAUCUACAUUGCUUGGGGUGAACUCACAAAGUGCACCAAGCAGCACUACUUGUGUAUUAUGUCCGGUUAUCUACUGUCCGACUACAAGAGUAUGAAGAAGACUGAUUUUGACGAAGAAGUCAAGUCAGUCGUGAAGUUAUGGACUACGCAUCAAGCAACUAUGAGUCUAUCGAGUGGUUGUCCUUUUGUCUUCGUUCUUCAUUGUUCUUUUACAUUUUCCUUUUCUUUUCCAUUUAACUUGCUUCAUAUCAUGAAAUUCUAAUGCAAGGGUAGCAGUACAAACACAAAGUCCAAUGACUCGGGUUUAUGAAACUCGAAGACGAUAGGUUUGUGACAAAACUCUUUAAGGUUUCAUUAUGUUUUAUGCAUUUUUAUAGCUCAUGUCAUGUCGUAUUUUCUCAUAGCUGGACUGAAGCUAAAACAAAUCUAGUCAUGUAAAUCUCAAU